GAGGAAUAUUGGUCAAUGGACGGAAGUCUGAACCAGCCAUGCCGCGUGAAGGAUGAAGGCGUUCUGCGUUGUAAACUUCUUUUAUCUGGGAAGAAACCACAGAUUUCUAUUUGUGUUGACGGUACCAGAGGAAUAAGCACCGGCUAACUCCGUGCCAGCAGCCGCGGUAAUACGGAGGGUGCGAGCGUUAUCCGGAUUUACUGGGUUUAAAGGGUGCGUAGGCGGGCUAUUAAGUCAGAGGUGAAAUCUCCGGGCUCGACCUGGAAACUGCUUUGAUACUAUUAGCCUUGAAUUAUGUUGAGGUUGGCGGAAUAUAACAUGUAGCGGUGAAAUGCUUAGAUAUGUUAUGGAACACCGAUUGCGAAGGCAGCUGGCUAAACAUAUAUUGACGCUGAUGCACGAAAGCGUGGGUAGCGAACA
rnacentral:rRNA from 1 species